rnacentral:rRNA from 1 species
AUUAAACGCUGGCGGCAUGCCUUACACAUGCAAGUCGAACGGCAGCACGGGGCAACCUGGUGGCGAGUGGCGAACGGGUGAGUAAAGCAUCGGAACGUGCCCUGGAGUGGGGGGAUAACGUAGCGAAAGUUACGCUAAUACCGCAUAUUCUGUGAGCAGGAAAGCAGGGGGAUCGCAAGACCUUGCGCUCUGGGAGCGGCCGAUGUCGGAUUAGCUAGUUGGUGGGGUAAAGGCCUACCAAGGCGACGAUCCGUAGCGGGUCUGAGAGGAUGAUCCGCCACACUGGGACUGAGACACGGCCCAGACUCCUACGGGAGGCAGCAGUGGGGAAUUUUGGACAAUGGGCGGAAGCCUGAUCCAGCCAUGCCGCGUGAGUGAAGAAGGCCUUCGGG